rnacentral:rRNA from 1 species
AUACGGAGGAUGCAAGCGUUAUCCGGAUUUAUUGGGUUUAAAGGGUGCGUAGGCGGUUUGCUAAGCGGGAGGUGAAAUGCCGGCGCUCAACGUCGGAAGUGCCUCCCGAACUGGUGGACUUGAAUGACUCUGCCGUGGGAGGAAUGGGUAGUGUAGCGGUGAAAUGCUUAGAGAUUACACAGAACACCGAUUGCGAAGGCAUCUCACGAAGGGUUGAUUGUCGCUGAGGCACGAAAGCGUGGGGAUCAAACAGGAUUAGAUACCCUGGUAGUCCACGCAGUAAACGAUGAUGGCUAACCGCUGGGCUUAUCAGUUCAGUGGCCAAGCGAAAGCGAUAAGCCAUCCACCUGGGGAGUACGACCGCAAGGUUGAAACUCAAAGGAAUUGACGGGG